rnacentral:lncRNA from 1 species
AAAUAGCUCAAAACCCCAGGAAUGAUAUAUAACCAACUCCAAGUAAUAAAUGUCAAAUAACCCACGACCCAGCCAAACUUUAAACCAAGUUUUUAUGACUAAGCUCAAUCCAUUUCCUUUCAAGUUGUUCGAAGGAAUUUCAGAGGUUGAAAAGAAUUGAAAAGAAAUUGAAAAUCACUUGAAAUCCAAUGAAAUAGUAGCAGUUUUUGUUUUGUGUUUUUUCUGAAAUUUUCUCUAAUCC